rnacentral:lncRNA from 1 species
AUGUUACACCUUCCCAGUUGGUCAGGCUGCCUCCUGUGGGAUCAGGUGAGCGUUGGGCCGGAACACAUCGCAGGGCGGGGUGCCAGGCCACCAUUCCAAACAGAAAUGUUGAUGUCCCUUUUGCAGCAGCAGCCUAUGCUGCUGGGCUGUGGGAACACAGCUGGGCGUAAGGUGUGGAAAGGGGAACGUGGGUUGUACCAGAAGCCCAAGGCCCCACCCAGAAGUUUGGCAAAGAGUGACUUGGAGUCAGAGAGCAGGUGGGGAGCGGGUUCACCCUGUGCAGCCUCCAGGAAAGGACUGGCCCACCACCCUUCCUGCUCGGGCCACCUCUUCCCAGGUCACGUCCUUCCCAGCUGCGCUCACCUUCAGCCUUUCCCAAGGCCUGUCCGACCACACAGUAAGCAAGAGCUACCCCAAGUGCUUCUUGGGCAAAGGGCAGUUUUCAGAAGUAUUUACUAAUUAGAGCAGGUGGAUACCAGUCACGUCAAACCCAGGACUAUUUACCGUGGGAAGAGAACAAAGGCUAGGGUUCUCUUGCCUUCCAGAACAACAUUCCACCGUCUACCUACUGCCAGAUCCCUGGGGGUCUGAACUCCUGAAAUCUCUCUCCCAACAUUGUAUUCAGGUACCAAGUAUUUAAUCAUUUAAAAAAUAAGAAAGACCAGGGCACGCUCUUCCCUUCCUCCCUGUGUCUGCUCCCGUCCCUUCGCCUGGGCCCACUCAGCACCCCGUCCCCCCCAGACCCGAAGCUCACUGUGAGCCCCCAUGCUUCCCUGGUGACCUCACCCCAGAUCUUGCCUUUCGGGCCCGUGCCUCCUCAGUCUUCCCAGCCAUCUCUGUUCGUCUUAUCUCUGGCUCUUGCACAGAUAUCACACCCUGCAUGCCUCAUGACUAAAGAUUCUGCGGCUUCCCCCCAGCCAUUUCCCACCCUGUCCUCGUCUUCCUUAGAAAUUCAGCAUGUUUGUCAACUGCUCUCAAGCAGAAAUGGUCAGGACACAGGGCGGGGCACCCUGCAGAGCUGAAUCUCCCACACACACUCAGCGUUCCCAGCCCCAAGUCCUUACUUGGAUGUGCUUCAGAGAACAGGCAGCCAGUUCCUGGGAGAGCAGCAUGUCUGCCUUUGUUGUAUUUGAGUGCCCCACCAGUGUGUUUGCACCCGAAUUUUCAGGCUGAAGGCCUCUGCGGUGGCCUCCCUGGGAAGCGGCUUCAUUUUAUUUGAGAGAAAAGGUUCCAGCCCUGCUUCCUGUCUCUGAGCACUGGGGCCACAGCGUUGUUAUCCCUCCCCCAGGAAGGCCAAACCCCUGAGCAGGGCUCAGACUGGGAAGGCAUCGUUGUCCUGCAGUGUUGGCAGGAUGCUCCAGACUCCUCUCAAACCCUGCAGGCAGGACUGCCCUGCCCUUCCUGAGGUCAGUUCCCAGGAUGGGGUGCAGGCUGGCACAUACAGGACCUGCUCUGGGCC